UGCCCAGAACUGGACACAGUACUCCAGGUGAGGUCUGGAGUACUGUGUCCAGUUCUGGGCA
rnacentral:miRNA from 1 species